rnacentral:rRNA from 1 species
CGGACGGGGGAGUAAUGUCUGGGGAAACAGCCUGAUGGAGGGGGAUAACUACUGGAAACGGUAGCUAAUACCGCAUAACGUCGCAAGACCAAAGAGGGGGACCUUAGGGCCUCUUGCCAUCGGAUGUGCCCAGAUGGGAUUAGCUAGUAGGUGGGGUAACGGCUCACCUAGGCGACGAUCCCUAGCUGGUCUGAGAGGAUGACCAGCCACACUGGAACUGAGACACGGUCCAG